rnacentral:rRNA from 1 species
UCGAAAGCCUGUCUCAGUUCGGAUUGGAGGCUGAAACCCGCCUCCAUGAAGUUGGAUUCGCUAGUAAUCGCGCAUCAGCCAUGGCGCGGUGAAUACGUUCCCGGGCCUUGUACACACCGCCCGUCAAGCCAUGGGAGCCGGGGGUGCCUGAAGUUCGUGACCGCAAGGAGCGACCUAGGGCAAAACUGGUGACUGGGGCUAAGUCGUAACAAGGUAUC